AUUGAACGCUAGCGGGAUGCCUUACACAUGCAAGUCGAACGGAGUUGCGGACGGGUGAGUAAUGUAUAGGAACGUGCCCAGUAUCUGGGGAUAACUACGCGAAAGCGUAGCUCAUACCGCAUACUAUUGGCGCGGCCGAUACCGGAUUAGCUAGUUGGUUGGGUAAGGGCUUACCAAGGCGACGAUCCGUAGCGGGUUUGAGAGGACGACCAGCCACAUUGGGACUGAGACACGGCCCAGACUCCUACGUGAGGCAGCAGUUGGGAAUUUUGGACAAUGGGGGAAACCCUGAUCCAGCCAUCCCGCGUGUGCGAUGAAGGCCUUCGGGUUGUAAAGCACUUUUGGCAGGAAAGCGGUACCUGCAGAAUAAGCACCGGCUAACUACGUGCCAGCAGCCGCGGUAAUUC
rnacentral:rRNA from 1 species